UAAAAUCAAAGUAAAACAAUGACACAGAUUCUUUACGUGGUUCAGCCACGAAGGCCUACAUCCACGGACAAGGAGAUGAACACUUUCACUAUCAAGAAUCGGAAGAGUACAGAGAAGAAGCUUCAAGCUUCAAUUUACAGCAGCUAUACUUAGCACCUCUCCAAAUCUUUCCACUCAACUCAAUAUCGUAAAAGUAAAUCAGAAGAAGAAAAUACACACUGCAAACUAAGGAAUACAAUAAGAGAAUGCCUUUAUACAUCAAUCUGAUCUUCUGCAAAUCCUCUCGCAAAACGGCCGCUGCUUCAGUUAGCUGAGAAAUAACUAACUGUUAUGCCUAUUAGCUGAGAGUCCUUCAACUUAAUGAAUAUUGCAGAAUAACCCCUGAAGCUUAUAAAAGCACA
rnacentral:lncRNA from 1 species